rnacentral:rRNA from 1 species
GUGAGGAAUAUUGCGCAAUGGAGGCAACUCUGACGCAGCCAUGCCGCGUGCAGGAAGAAGGCGCUACGCGUUGUAAACUGCUUUUAACCGGGAAGAAACCCCAGGACGUGUCCUGGGUUGACGGUACCGGAGGAAUAAGCACCGGCUAACUUCGUGCCAGCAGCCGCGGUAAUACGAAGGGUGCAAGCGUUAUCCGGAUUCAUUGGGUUUAAAGGGUGCGUAGGCGGAGCGUUAAGUCAGUGGUGAAAUCCUGCAGCUUAACUGUAGACUUGCCAUUGAUACUGGCGCUCUUGAGUGCGCUUGAAGUGGGCGGAAUGUGCCGUGUAGCGGUGAAAUGCUUAGAUAUGGCACAGAACACCAAUUGCGAAGGCAGCUCACUAAGGCGAUACUGACGCUGAGGCACGAAAGCGUGGGGAUCGAACAGGAUUAGAUACCCCUGUAGUCC